AAACCCUAGCAGCCCCCCCCCCCCUACCCCUGCAAUGGCCACCGCUGCCGCCAUCCCAACCACCACCGUGCAAAGCCUGGAAAAUGAUAUGGCCACUGACAGCGCCGCCGUUCCCCUUCCCGCCGUCAUGAAGGCGCCGAUCCGUCCAGAUGUAGUCACCUAUGUCCACUCCAACAUCUCCAAAAACGCUCGGCAACCGUAUGCAGUGUCGAGGAAAGCUGGUCAUCAGACCUCUGCUGAGUCAUGGGGUACCGGACGUGCUGUGUCACGUAUCCCUCGUGUUCCUGGUGGUGGUACUCACCGUGCU
rnacentral:misc_RNA from 1 species